GACGAACGCUGGCGGCGUGCUUAACACAUGCAAGUCGAACGGAAAGGCCCUGCUUUUGUGGGGUGCUCGAGUGGCGAACGGGUGAGUAGCACGUGAGUAACCUGCCCUUGACUUUGGGAUAACUUCAGGAAACUGGGGCUAAUACCGGAUAGGAGCUCCUGCUGCAUGGUGGGGGUUGGAAAGUUUUGGCGGUUGGGGAUGGACUCGCGGCUUAUCAGCUUGUUGGUGGGGUAGUGGCUUACCAAGGCUUUGACGGGUAGCCGGCCUGAGAGGGUGACCGGCCACAUUGGGACUGAGAUACGGCCCAGACUCCUACGGGAGGCAGCAGUGGGGAAUAUUGCACAAUGGGCGGAAGCCUGAUGCAGCAACGCCGCGUGCGGGAUGACGGCCUUCGGGUUGUAAACCGCUUUCGCCUGUGACGAAGCGUGAGUGACGGUAAUGGGUAAAGAAGCACCGGCUAACUACGUG
rnacentral:rRNA from 1 species